rnacentral:rRNA from 1 species
AUUGAACGCUGGCGGCAGGCUUAACACAUGCAAGUCGAGCGGAGAUGAGGUGCUUGCACCUCAUCUUAGCGGCGGACGGGUGAGUAAUGCUUAGGAAUCUGCCUAUUAGUGGGGGACAACAUUCCGAAAGGAAUGCUAAUACCGCAUACGUCCUACGGGAGAAAGCAGGGGAUCUUCGGACCUUGCGCUAAUAGAUGAGCCUAAGUCGGAUUAGCUAGUUGGUGGGGUAAAGGCCUACCAAGGCGACGAUCUGUAGCGGGUCUGAGAGGAUGAGCCGCCACACUGGGACUGAGACACGGCCCAGACUCCUACGGGAGGCAGCAGUGGGGAAUAUUGGACAAUGGGGGGAACCCUGAUCCAGCCAUGCCGCGUGUGUGAAGAAGGCCUUAUGGUUGUAAAGCACUUUAAGCGAGGAGGAGGCUACUGAGACUAAUACUCUUGGAUAGUGGACGUUACUCGCAGAAUAAGCACCGGCUAACUCUGUGCCAGCCGCCGCCGUAAAAC